GACGAACGCUGGCGGCGUGCUUAACACAUGCAAGUCGAACGGUAAGGCCCUUCGGGGUACACGAGUGGCGAACGGGUGAGUGACACGUGGGUGAUCUGCCCUGCACUUCGGGAUAAGCCUGGGAAACUGGGUCUAAUACCGGAUAGGACCACUGCCUGCAUGGGCGGUGGUGGAAAGCUUUUGCGGUGUGGGAUGGGCCCGCGGCCUAUCAGCUUGGUGGUGGGGUGAUGGCCUACCAAGGCGACGACGGGUAGCCGGCCUGAGAGGGUGACCGGCCACACUGGGACUGAGAUACGGCCCAGACUCCUACGGGAGGCAGCAGUGGGGAAUAUUGCACAAUGGGCGCAAGCCUGAUGCAGCGACGCCGCGUGAGGGAUGACGGCCUUCGGGUUGUAAACCUCUUUCAGCUAUGACGAAGCGCAAGUGACGGUAGUAGCAGAAGAAGGACCGGCCAACUACGUGCCAGCAGCCGCGGUAA
rnacentral:rRNA from 1 species